rnacentral:lncRNA from 10 species
UCUAUCACCAAUCAUCCAUCUGGGUCCCUGCCAAGCCUCUGAGUCUCUGGCCAGAUAUUUUCCAUUGCCCAUGAAUUACUGUUGAGCUUCACUCCAGCCCAUCCAUUCUUCCAGAUUGCAAUGAACGGCGUUGUGUUUGGGGAGAAACAGGCAUAGCCAUGGCUUCCUGAUCCUGGAUUGCAGCUAGUGGGUGAUUCUGGUGUCCGCUUCCUGGUUGAUGGGAGAGGUAGCAGUUCCCUUGCCAGUUCCUUGCUGGUGUUCUAAGAGUGGGUCUAGAAACAGUCUUCCAAUUUGGCAACAUUUUUAUAGGCACUUAAUUCUCUGUAUUAA